ensembl:lncRNA
GUUGGUUGUUCCCCGUCAGCUGUGUCUAAAUUUUGGUGCAAGUAUAGAAGGUUCUAAAAGGAAAACAUAUAAAGAAGUCAAAGAAUCAAGAAAACUUGAUUUCAAGCGAUGUGCUUAAAAAUAGAAAAUGCACAAGAAAAGAAAUGAAGAGCAAAUGGGAGGAAACAGGAGUCAAUGUUUGUGACAGAACUGUAAGAAAUGGGAUUUAUAUAUAGAAAAGCCAAACGAAAACCAGCAGCAACACCCAAAGAGAAGAAAACAAGGUUACAGUGGGCUAAAGAGAAGCAAUCACGGAGAACUCUUUAGAUCUUGGCAUGAGGUCACCACACACCUCAAUAGCAAAGGGAACACCAGACACUAGAUAUGAGACGAGUUUAAACAAGACCAGUUCCACCUGCACUGCUUAAGCAGGUUCGAAUAGCUGGAACCUGAUCUUCAACACCUGAUCGUAAUUAUAUGGAUGUGAAGAUGAAUGUGAUAAAUGUAGGCGUGCACUUUAAUUGUGAAAAUUACUAUAUAAUGUCAAUUUUGUGUAAUUUGAUGGGUGUGACACAAUCAUUAAUGAGCACUGUUUCAAAGAGGAUCAAAUGUUUGCUUGUCCAAAUAUGUAAAAAAAAAGAAGGUCUCUCACCAUUUUUUCUGUCUUUUUCUGUCUUUUGUUGUCUCACUCUAUCUCACGCUGUCUCUCGCUGUCCAGUGCUAUCUCUCCCUGUCUCACUCUGUCUCUCACACUCUUUCUGUCACUGUCACAUGCUGUCACACUUUCUCUCUCUUUGUAUCAUGCUGUCUCUCCCAAUCUCUCCCAGUCUCUCUCAGUCUCUCCCAGUCUCUCACUGUCUCUCCCAGUCUUUCACUGUCUCUCACUGUCUCUCUCAGUCUCUCACUGUCUCUCACUGUCUCUCCCAGUCUCUCACUGUCUCUCCCAGUCUCUCACUGUCUCUCACUGUCUCUCACUGUCUCUCACUGUCUCUCCCAGUCUCUCACUGUCUCUCCCAGUCUGUCACUGUCUCUCUCAGUCUCUCACUGUCUCUCCCAGUCUCUCCCAGUCUCUCCCAGUCUCUCACUGUCUCUCCCAGUCUCUCACUGUCUCUCCCAGUCUGUCACUGUCUCUCACUGUCUCUCACUGUCUCUCACUGUCUCUCUCAGUCUCUCCCAGUCUGUCACUGUCUCUCCCUGUCUCUCACUGUCUCUCACUGUCUCUCCCUGUCUCUCACUGUCUCUCACUGUCUCUCACUGUCUCUCUCAGCCUCUCCCAGUCUCUCACUGUCUCUCUCAGUCUCUCCCAGUCUCUCCCUGUCUCUCCCAGUCUGUCACUGUCUCUCACUGUCUCUCCCUGUCUGUCACUGUCUCUCACUGUCUCUCACUGUCUCUCACUGUCUCUCUCAGUCUCUCCCAGUCUGUCACUGUCUCUCCCAGUCUCUCCCAGUCUCUCACUGUCUCUCACUGUCUCUCCCAGUCUCUCACUGUCUCUCACUGUUUCUCACUGUCUCUCCCUGUCUCUCACUGUCUCUCACUGUCUUUCAAACUCUCUUUUUGACUCUCACUGUCUCACUCUGCAGCACCAUGUUUAAAUCUUUAAACCCAGUCCCCUGACCUGAACCCCAUAGAAAACCUGUGGCAUGAACUGAAGAGGAGAGUCCACCAGCGUGGACAUCGAAAUGUGAAGGAUCUGGAGAGAUUCUGUACGGAGGAACGCUCUCAGAUCCCUCGCCAUGUAUUCUCCAACCUCAUCAGCGUUAUAGGAGAAGACACAGAGCUGUUAUCUUGGCAAAGGGAGGUAGCACAAAGUAUUGACUAAAAGGGUGCCAAUAAUUGUUGCACACCUAUAUUUAACAAAGAUUUUUUUUUGAUAAACCUGUGUCUUGCUUGCAAUUGUUUGAUAUCCACGAGAGUAGAGUAUUUUUAUGAAUUUUUUAAACAAAAUAUCAAAUGUUCACAGCGUUCUUUGCUCAUAUUUUCCAAGGGUGCCAAUAUUACUGGAGGGCGCUGCAUCUUGUAUUGUGCUCUACAGAUCAGUUUUUGUUCCAUGGAGCUAGGACCAGCCUGAGCCGAGACAUUGAGGUUUCCCUAAACAGCUGUAUAACCAAAAUUUGUUGUGCGCCACGACACAAAGACGGCUGUCGUAGUUAAACCAAGUAAAAUAAAAUUUAAAUUCUUUUUUUUGAGGUAAUCACUCAAAAUAAAAAAAUUCAAAACAGUUGAGCAACCAACUUUACAUUUAUAGGACCACUUGAGAUAGAAUGACCCCACACACGAUGCUUCAUAAGAUUGUUAUAAAUGUAAAUUUGACUUAUAAAUUUAUUAAAAUCUUUUUUGACAAUUCUACCCUUAACCAGGUUGCAUUCUUUAGUGAUAGACUUCAAUUCAGCCAAUUGGGCAGAUCAGGGUGUUCAUAAUGUUUGUGAAAUUUCAGACCCAAAACUUUUAAGCUCAAGGACAUAUGAAUUUCGGCUAGGCAAUCGUGAGUGUUCUCAGUGACUGGCUCCACAGAAUGAAUUACACCAUUACAGUUGGUGUGUUAGGCGCACUAACAAGUUUAGGAAUUUCAGUUUAGGUGGUACAUGGAUUAACCCCAUAUCCCCAUAUCCUGUUCUUUCAAAAUAGAAAUGACCUGGUGUGAUGAACGUAAGAUCGAUGUGUGAGAGAGCAAUUUUCCCAAUGAUCCGCACUAAGAGAGCAUCUCCAGCCGCGGCACGCACCCUGGCAAUCCUUGUGCCACCAAAUCCAACGUUUUCAACACAAACUACAGCCCUG